rfam:Cucumis sativus cultivar 9930 chromosome 4, whole genome shotgun sequence.
UAUCCCUAUGAUGAUUGAUUGGAAUUAUAAAAGUAGUGGACUGAGUCUUACUGGUGAGAAGUAUCAAUUCUGAGGGAUA